AGCGAACGCUGGCGGCAGGCCUAACACAUGCAAGUCGAACGGACCCUUCGGGGGUUAGUGGCGGACGGGUGAGUAACACGUGGGAACGUGCCCUUUGGUUCGGAACAACACAGGGAAACUUGUGCUAAUACCGGAUAAGCCCUUCGGGGGAAAGAUUUAUUGCCAUUGGAGCGGCCCGCGUUGGAUUAGGUAGUUGGUAGGGUAAAGGCCUACCAAGCCAACGAUCUGUAGCUGGUCUGAGAGGACGACCAGCCACACUGGAACUGAGACACGGUCCAGACUCCUACGGGAGGCAGCAGUGGGGAAUUUUGGACAAUGGGCGAAAGCCUGAUCCAGCCAUUCCGCGUGCAGGAUGAAGGCCCUCGGGUUGUAAACUGCUUUUGUACAGAACGAAAAGGUUUCUAUUAAUACUAGGAGCUCAUGACGGUACUGUAAGAAUAAGCACCGGCUAACUACGUG
rnacentral:rRNA from 1 species